rnacentral:rRNA from 2 species
GGGUGAGUAAUGUCUGGGAAACUGCCUGAUGGAGGGGGAUAACUACUGGAAACGGUAGCUAAUACCGCAUAACGUCGCAAGACCAAAGAGGGGGACCUUCGGGCCUCUUGCCAUCGGAUGUGCCCAGAUGGGAUUAGCUAGUAGGUGGGGUAAAGGCUCACCUAGGCGACGAUCCCUAGCUGGUCUGAGAGGAUGACCAGCCACACUGGAACUGAGACACGGUCCAGACUCCUACGGGAGGCAGCAGUGGGGAAUAUUGCACAAUGGGCGCAAGCCUGAUGCAGCCAUGCCGCGUGUAUGAAGAAGGCCUUCGGGUUGUAAAGUACUUUCAGCGGGGAGGAAGGGAGUAAAGUUAAUACCUUUGCUCAUUGACGUUACCCGCAGAAGAAGCACCGGCUAACUCCGUGCCAGCAGCCGCGGUAAUACGGAGGGUGCAAGCGUUAAUCGGAAUUACUGGGCGUAAAGCGCACGCAGGCGGUUUGUUAAGUCAGAUGUGAAAUCCCCGGGCUCAACCUGGGAACUGCAUCUGAUACUGGCAAGCUUGAGUCUCGUAGAGGGGGGUAGAAUUCCAGGUGUAGCGGUGAAAUGC